GAUGAACGCUGGCGGCGUGCCUAAUACAUGCAAGUCGAGCGAACAGACGAGGAGCUUGCUCCUCUGACGUUAGCGGCGGACGGGUGAGUAACACGUGGAUAACCUACCUAUAAGACUGGGAUAACUUCGGGAAACCGGAGCUAAUACCGGAUAAUAUAUUGAACCGCAUGGUGCAAUAGUUAAAGACGGUUUUGCUGUCACUUAUAGAUGGAUCCGCGCCGCAUUAGCUAGUUGGUAAGGUAACGGCUUACCAAGGCUACGAUGCGUAGCCGACCUGAGAGGGUGAUCGGCUACCCUGGAAGUGAGACACGGUCCAGACUCCUACGGGAGGCAGCAGUAGGGAAUCUUCCGCAAUGGACGAAAGCCUGACGGAGCAACGCCGCGUGAGUGAUGAAGGUCUUCGGAUCGUAAAACUCUGUUAUUAGGGAAGAACAAAUGUGUAAGUAACUAUGCACGUCUUGACGGUACCUAAUCAGAAAGCCCCGGCUAACUACGUG
rnacentral:rRNA from 1 species